AGUGAACGCUGGCGGUAGGCCUAACACAUGCAAGUCGAACGGCAGCACAGUAAGAGCUUGCUCUUACGGGUGGCGAGUGGCGGACGGGUGAGGAAUACAUCGGAAUCUACUUUUUCGUGGGGGAUAACGUAGGGAAACUUACGCUAAUACCGCAUACGACCUACGGGUGAAAGCAGGGGAUCUUCGGACCUUGCGCGAUUGAAUGAGCCGAUGUCGGAUUAGCUAGUUGGCGGGGUAAAGGCCCACCAAUGCGACGAUCCGUAGCUGGUCUGAGAGGAUGAUCAGCCACACUGGAACUGAGACACGGUCCAGACUCCUACGGGAGGCAGCAGUGGGGAAUAUUGGACAAUGGGCGCAAGCCUGAUCCAGCCAUACCGCGUGGGUGAAGAAGGCCUUCGGGUUGUAAAGCCCUUUUGUUGGGAAAGAAAAGCAGCAGGUUAAUACCCCGCUGUUCUGACGGUACCCAAAGAAUAAGCACCGGCUAACUUCGUG
rnacentral:rRNA from 1 species